rnacentral:rRNA from 1 species
AUUGAACGCUGGCGGCAGGCUUAACACAUGCAAGUCGAGCGAGCGGCGGACGGGUGAGAAAUGUCUGGGACACUGCCUGAUGGAGGGGGAUAACUACUGGAAACGGUAGCUAAUACCGCAUACCAUCAGAUGUGCCCAGAUGGGAUUAGCUAGUAGGUGGGGUAAUGGCUCACCUAGGCGACGAUCCCUAGCGGGUCUGAGAGGAUGACCAGCCACACUGGAACUGAGACACGGUCCAGACUCCUACGGGAGGCAGCAGUGGGGAAUAUUGCACAAUGGGCGAAAGCCUGACGCAGCCACGCCGCGUGUGUGAAGAAGGUCUUCGGGUCGUAAAGCACUUUCAGCGAGGAGGCGUUACCCGCAGAAGAAGCACCGGCUAACUCCGUGCCAGCAGCCGCGGUAAUUC